rnacentral:rRNA from 1 species
GACGAACGCUGGCGGCGUGCUUAACACAUGCAAGUCGAACGAUGAACCCGGAGCUUGCUCCGGCGGAUUAGUGGCGAACGGGUGAGUAACACGUGAGUAACCUGCCCUUGACUCUGGGAUAACUGCUAGAAAUGGUAGCUAAUACCGGAUACGACCCUCGGUGGCAUCACCAGGGGGUGGAAAGCAUUUCGGUCAAGGAUGGACUCGCGGCCUAUCAGCUAGUUGGUGAGGUAACGGCUCACCAAGGCGACGACGGGUAGCCGGCCUGAGAGGGUGACCGGCCACACUGGGACUGAGACACGGCCCAGACUCCUACGGGAGGCAGCAGUGGGGAAUAUUGCACAAUGGGCGCAAGCCUGAUGCAGCAACGCCGCGUGAGGGAUGACGGCCUUCGGGUUGUAAACCUCUUUUAGUAGGGAAGAAGCGAGAGUGACGGUACCUGCAGAAAAAGCACCGGCUAACUACGUGCCAGCCGCCGCAGUAA